UACAGAGGUCUCAAGCGUUGUUCGGAUUCAUUGGGCGUAAAGGGUGCGUAGGUGGCAAGGUAAGUCAGAUGUGAAAUCCCCGGGCUCAACCUGGGAACUGCAUUUGAUACUGCCGUGCUCGAGUGCUGGAGGGGAGACUGGAAUUCACGGUGUAGCAGUGAAAUGCGUAGAUAUCGUGAGGAAGACCGGUGGCGAAGGCGAGUCUCUGGACAGCAACUGACACUGAGGCACGAAGGCUAGGGGAGCAAACGGGAUUAGAUACCCCGGUAGUCCUAGCAGUAAACGGUGCGCGUUUGGUAUGGGGGGAUCGACCCCUUCCGUGCCGGAGCUAACGCGUUAAACGCGCCGCCUGGGGAGUACGGUCGCAAGAUUA
rnacentral:rRNA from 1 species